rnacentral:rRNA from 1 species
GACGAACGCUGGCGGCGUGCUUAACACAUGCAAGUCGAACGGAAAGGCCCUGCUUUUGUGGGGUGCUCGAGUGGCGAACGGGUGAGUAACACGUGAGUAACCUGGCCUUGACUUUGGGAUAACUUCAGGAAACUGGGGCUAAUACCGGAUAGGAGCUCCUGCUGCAUGGUGGGGGUUGGAAAGUUUCGGCGGUAGGGGAUGGACGCUCGGCUUAUCAGCUUGUUGGUGGGGUAGUGGCUUACCAAGGGUUUGACGGGUAGCCGGCCUGAGAGGGUGACCGGCGACAUUGGGACUGAGAUACGGCCCAGACUCCUACGGGAGGCAGCAGUGGGGAAUAUUGCACAAUGGGCGGAAGCCUGAUGCAGCAACGCCGCGUGCGGGAUGACGGCCUUCGGGUUGUAAACCGCUUUCGCCUGUGACGAAGCGUGAGUGACGGUAAUGGGUAAAGAAGCACCGGCUAACUACGUG